CGGGCGGUCCAGUCCCAGGUGGCGUCAGCGCUGACCAGGGCGGCCUCGCCGAGAUAGGCGCCGUCGGCGAGGACGCCGAGCACGGCCUCGUCGCCGUAGGGGCCCUCGCCGAUCUGCUCGAUGCGGCCGUGCGCGAGGAGGUACACCCGGUCGGCGGGAGCGCCGGACACGGCGAUGAUCUCGCCCGCCGCGAACUCCCGCUGGGUGCAGCGGGCCGCGAGCUCGGUCAGUGCGCUCUCGUCCUCGUAACCGCGGAGUGCCGGGAGUUCGCCGAGUUCGGCGGGGAUCACCGCGACGCGCUCUCCGGUCUGCACGAAGGUGACGCGGCCGUCACCCACGGAGUAGCUGAGCCUCCGGUUCACCCGGUACGUGCCACCCUGCACCUGGACCCACGGCAGUGUCCGCAGCAGCCACCGAGAGGUGAUCUCCUGCAUCUGCGGGGCCGACUUGGUGGUCGUGGCGAGGUUCCGCGCGGCGGCGGUCCCGAGACUCUGCUGCGGGGCCUGCUG
rnacentral:antisense_RNA from 1 species